AGGCGAAAACGCCUUUCUCUGCCGGGGGCCUCUCGCGGCCGCCAUCUUGGGAGUGGCGUGUCGCGUCGUGUCGCGGACCGGCUUGACCUUCUCAAGAGGGCGGCCAAAAGGGCGGGAAAAAUGAGGCCCGUGGUGUGUCUAUUGAGCUGCCCGCACGCCGCUCCGACGCCGGCGCGGCCCCGGAGGAAUUUUCUGUGGCGAUUCAAGUGCUGUGGACACGGGCUGUGCGCUUAGCGGCGCCGCGGGCGGUGGCGUUUGUGGCGGGCGCUGACAGGCUUGAGUAUAGACGCCUCUCUUUACCGAGGGCUUCUCGCGGCCGCCAUCUUAAGAGUGGCGUGUCGCGUCGUGUCGCGGACCGGCUUGACCUUCUCAAGAGGGCGGCCAAAAGGGCGGGAAAAUCCAGGUUAGCCGAGAAUAGCCGAGUGUAGCCGAAGAGCCGACGAUAGCCGAGUUUUGGCGACAAUAGCCGGGUGUAGCCGAAGAGCCGACGAUAGCCGAGUUUUGCCGACAAUAGCCGGGUGUAGCCGAAGAGCCGACGAUAGCCGAGUUCAGCCGAAGUGCCGAAACAAGCCCAGCUUAGACCAACAGCCGAACCAAACCGCCGCUGCACGUACGUGUUUUAAUCGCGUAACCAGGCGGACUCGGGAAAGCCGACAGCCGGAGUAGAUUUCUGUUUGGUCUGUGUCUGUGAGGAGCGGGCUGUGUGCUGGACAGGCAGAGACGCUGUCGGAGCGUGGCAACAGCGCCAGCUGUGAGCUCUGAGGAUGAUGAGGGCUCCGAGCAGCCCCAGCCCUGAGCUGCGAGGAUGAGGAGGGGGCGGCUCCUGCCGGGAGGAGGCUGUUUUAGGGGGGAAGGGGUCGCCUGAGCUCCCUUUUGCCUGGAGCUGCUGAGCAGAGGGGUUUAGGGGGGCUCCCGGCGCUGUCUCGUGGAAGGACGCCGAGAGCUUCUCCGAGGGUCUGGGGGAACACCUGGAUACGCACUUGGAUGCGUGGAGCAUUGCUCAAAGGAGGUGCCGAGGAACAAAGCUCCGUGCCGGGAAGCAGCAGCCGAACAGCCGUGACCAAGGGACCAGAGCCCGGUGACUGCAGGACAUUGCCAGCGAGAGAGGCGGCCUUCCUUUGCAGCGGACGUGGAUUCUCAUCCCAGGAUGCUCGAGAGAUAAGUCGAGGGCUGUGCCACGCUGAGGGGAUGGAAGCGAGGUGCUGGGAGGGCCUUUUGAGUAGCUUCUUGGGAGGCAGGGAUGUGCAGGAGAUGGCCCCUUAGGCCACAUGGAGGAGAAGUCUCAGCGUGCUGAGGUGCUCAGGGCAGAGCGGUCCCGGUGCCUGUCACUUGUGUCACUUGUCUGUCGUGCCUUCUGUGUCUUUUGGAUGUCUCGUGUCUUGUGCCUUAGUCCUUUGAGGAGCUUAUGGUUUGUCCUGUUCUGUGUCACGGGUGUCUGGGUGUUUGGGCCGAUGCCGCUCUGCCCUGCUGCAAAGCCUGGUGUAGGUAUCAUAGGAGAAGUCCUGGGGGCCUGGAAAGAUGCUGGUUUUUUCUGGAAGAAUUACGUGAGAGCAGAAAAGUUACAAUGGCAUUGGAGUUGCCUGCACAGAAGAGACCCAGGGAAGUGGAACACAGCCAGGUGGUUUUGUGUGGCACCACAACUGAGAGCAUCAGUUAGGUGAGGAGGCGCGAGCAGCUCCCCGCUUUCGCAGACACAAUAGUCAUGUCAAGCAGUUUCGCCCUUUUCCAGACCACUGGCACGUGCUUGGGGACAAUAAGCUGUAUUUUUUACAGCCAGGUCUUCUGAGCCGCACUCCUCCUGCUCUGGGGUGGCCGCUGCUCACUGAUCACGGUGAAAACAACCUUGUGUCCCGGCACCCUGCAAAAUUCCCAGCUUAGAUGGCACUGAAGCGCAGCUUUGGCUUUCAGGCAUCUCCCCUGCAACCUGUGCCUUGUGUCGUCUCUGCAGGGAAUUAGUUAUUAAUUAAUUGCUUCCAUUUUUUUUUUAAUUUCCAAAGAAUAUCAGGUGACUUUUACAUCCUCUUCAGUGCUCCCCAAGCUUCACACCACACCUAAGUGCUGACUUUCACUGCCUACAGGUCGUUUGUGACCGAAAUGAUUCUGUGAAUUCUUCUCUUAACUUGAGCUUAAGGGCAAAGCGCCACAUUGAUUGCAUUUUGGAGAGAAAGAUUUGAAGGCUCGGCUGUAAAUUUCUCUUGUGUCCCGUCUUCCGGGUUCAUUCGUGUUGUAAUUUGCAAGUGGCAGAAGAGUGUUGCUGUUUAUUAAAAGCAAUAGCGCUCUCAAAGUGUUGAUGGGGGCGAUGAUUGCAGGGGUGCCAAUUGUGAAAAAUAACUUUGCCCACAUCUUCCCCAGGGCCUGGGCAGAGAGAGGUGGAGCUGGGCCGUGGAGUCCCCCGGAUCCUUCCACGGGUGUGGGCGUCUGCAGCACCGGGGAUCCGUGGCACAACUCCUUCCUGCAGAGGCUGAAAGCUGAGCCUACAGUUUCAAGCAGGACAAUCACCUUCCCAAGGCAAUAACAAGCGCCUCCCAAGAGCAGCUGGUGAAGGCGGCUCAGAAGGGAUGUGGUGAAACGUUUGGUCCAUCCGUCGUGCUUCUGGACGUGCAGGAAUCUUCAAACUCCUUUCCUCCUCCUCAAGACUCUGGGGCUCCUCAUUCCGUAGAAGGUAAGAGCACAUAAAGUGGUGGGACGGGGAAAUGCCUUCUCGCUUGCCAACAGCCUUAAGCUGUACAGGGUGCUGUUUGCCACAGGCAUUCUUAGCUCCGUGUCAUCAGGCGCCAGUCUAAUCUGCCAGGUGUAAUUGCCAUGGAAUAAAAUCCUUUGCUGGUGGCUGAUCGCCCCCAGUCAAUUGGAUUACACAGGCAGGAGCUGGCGCUGCCAAAGGCAGCGAGGGUUUAGGAAUCGUGGCUGCUGCUGCUGCCGGGGCUUUAAAGGCUCCUGCUGAAAGGAGGAGUCAAUGGGGUGUGCAUCCUCCCCCAGCAGAGCUGGGAAUAGCAGGACCCGUGACUGUGCUGUCUCUGAGCUACGCUGCUACUGCCUAAAACCUGUCCUGCAGUGUGCCGUGGAAUUGCAGAGCAAGGGCUGGUUAGGGCAUAAAGCCUGGCCAGGGGUGACAGGGACCGUUUCAGGCAGCACAGGGAAGUGGUGCCGCUUUGCCUGGUGGAGAAGGUGUGAAAAUGAGUUAGCCCAGGCACACGGCACCGUCGGCUGUGGCCAGUGGCCUCCAGCGGGCUGCGCGGGGGGACAGAGGCAGCCUGCGCCUUUACAAACGUGUUUAUUGUUCAAAGCGCCUCUCUUAGCCUUCGCUAGCAGAAUUCAGCAUCUUCAGUUUGAAAACUACCAGACCCAGAGCCCGAGCAUCUAUUGUAGCCUGGAGGACUUGUAGCAUGGGAGAGGCAAGAACCUGCAUCCUGUGCCGUGCGUGCUCUUACUUGAUGUGGGAAUCCUAAUGGUAUUAUUAAGGCCUGGCCUCAGUAUGUCUCUUACUGCCUUGCCAUUCGUGAAGCCCGAGGCUGGCUUGUCCUGGUUAGCUGUCUGAUGUGGAGGAGCUGACCUGCCAGCUCCUGUGGAAGUGAGUGCUCUCCGUGGAGUGACAUCCUGUAAAAUUUCUGUCACAGAAUCUCUGUCUUUAUGGCUCUCCUCCACCGAGAAGGACAUGGCCUCGUUGUCAGCAAUUGCUAUUUCUGCAAUAGCGUAAAAGUGCUAUCUUAGUACUAUUUAUUAUUUCAAAAGAAAAUACUUUGAAUCUGUGUAAGUGAUAGCUAAAAUGCCACCUGAAAGCUAGAAAGAGCACAUACCUAUAAUCCUCUUCCCUCUUGUGUCACCGAGUGUGUGAGACAGAAAGGCCCUUUCCGUGGAGGGAUAACGGCACUGAAAGAUCUUUUCCAGGAAAAGCAGAACACUGGAACACGGAAGUAGCCUUCAGUUCCUGCAGCAGAUUUGGGACCACGUGGAAGGAGGAGCAGAGCUGGCCCGGUGCCACAGCUGCGCAUGCAGUGGGGAUGGAGAAGCUGCCAUUGUCUGUCUUCUUGGCUGAGCCUUUAAAAACAAGGCACGUCUCUGUAGUGCCUUUUCCAGCCUGACAUAAAAGUUCCCCCUAGACGUCCAAAGGCAGCUGUUUUCUUAGCAGAAGGCGGUCAGGAAGAGGCAAAGCAGGCAAAGGCAUCAGCUAAGUCUGGCUAAAGAAGUUGGCUGAGGUGUUUCUCCCCCCUCCUAAGCAGCCAAUUUGGAAGCACUCUGCAGAGAUCUGUCUGCCUGGGAGGAGAAGCAGAGCCAACCACUGAAAAGUGGCACGUGAGCUCUGGUGAGGACUGCUGCUCCGCCUGCCUUGGUGUGGGAACUGCUGAGCUGCCAUUCCUGCCGCGGGAGUGUUUCUCCUCUCGUGCAGGCAAGGCAGAGACCUCCCAGGUAAGGAGCAGGUAAGGUUUAAGUGACGAGAUGUCCCAAGGAAGAAGUGACAUGACAAAAGGAAAUGGCCUCGAGUUGCACCAGGGAAGGCUUAGAUUGGAUUGUAGGAAACACUUCCUCACUGAAAGGGUGGUGAGGCAUUGGAGCAGGCUGCCCAGGGAAGUCCCCGUCCCUGGAGACAUGGAAAGGAUGUGUAGACGUGGUGUUGAGGGACCUGAUUUGGGGGUGGGGGGGG